rnacentral:rRNA from 1 species
ACUGCUCAGUAACACGUGGCUAACCUACCCUCAGGACGGGGACAAACCCGGGAAACUGGGGCUAAUAUCCGAUAGGUGAGGAUGCCUGGAAUGGUUUCUCACUCAAAGGGCUUUAGGAACAUGCUUCUAAAGUCGCCUGGGGAUGGGGCCGCGACCGAUCAGGUUGUUGGUGAGGUAAUGGCUCACCAAGCCUAUAACCGGUACGGGCCGUGAGAGCGGUAGCCCGGAGAUGGGUACUGAGACAAGGACCCAGGCCCUACGGGGCGCAGCAGUCGCGAAAACUCCGCAAUGCACGAAAGUGUGACGGGGCUACCCCGAGUGCCAUCCGCUGAGGAUGGCUUUUCCUUGGUAUAACUAGCCAGGGGAAUAAGGAGAGGGCAAGACUGGUGUCAGCCGCCGCGGUAAUACCAGCUCUCCGAGUGGUAGGGAUGUUUAUUGGGCUUAAAGCGUCCGUAGCCGGCUUAGCAAGUCUCCUGUUAAAUUCAGCGACCUAAUCGUUGAGCCGCGGGAGAUACUACUAGGCUAGGAGGCGGGAGAGGUCGACGGUACUUCUGGGGUAGGGGUGAAAUCCUAUAAUCCCAGGAGGACCACCAGUGGCGAAGGCUGUUGACUAGAACGCGCUCGACGGUGAGGGACGAAAGCUGGGGGAGCGAACCGGAUUAGAUACCCGGGUAGUCCCAGCCGUAAACGAUGCGGGCUAGGUGUUGGGGUGGCUACGUGCCACUUCAGUGCCGCAGGGAAGCCAUUAAGCCCGCCGCCUGGGGAGUACGGCCGCAAGGCUGAAACUUAAAGGAAUUGGCGGGGGAG